rnacentral:misc_RNA from 1 species
UUUCCGUAGGUGAACCUGCGGAAGGAUCAUUAUUGUAUAACCGAGGUGCGAGGGCUUUCGCUGACCCGAAAGUUCGUGCACGCCCGUGUGCCCUCACACACAUCCAUCUCACCCCUAUGUGCACCACCGCGUGGUUCCCCCUUUGGCGUGUUCGGAGGGGGGCUUACGUUUUCACACAAACUUUGUAUGCAGUGUAGAAUGUAUUUUUUGUUUUUGCGAUCACGCAAUCAAUACAACUUUCAACAACGGAUCUCUUGGCUCUA